AAUUUAAUUUUUAUUCAACACCCGAAUUCACUCACAAAAUUAAUCUUAGUUCAUUCUAUCAACACAACACCAGAAUGGAGACAACAAUCAGCCAGAGAAGGCUGGCAAGAAUCCCCAAUCAAGAUCCAUCUCUUACCCGAAAAUCAAUCAUCACUGUGUUCGACGCCCCCAAUUUUCCUCCUCAAAACCCAAACCCCGAACCUGGAAUUCCAGAUCCAAUUCCACCGCUGCAAUUCAUGUUCUCGAAGUCCCCAUCCAAUAUUAUGGGCUAUGAAUCUAUGAUAAUAUGAGAAGCUUCUGGAAGAGAAAAGAAGAUUGAGAUAGCAAUGAACACUAAAGAAAUGAAUGUUGUUAGAAAAGAGUUUGCCUCUAUAAAUUGCAUUUGGUUAGGUGCGAUUUUCAUUUCGCGUAAUAUAUAUGAAUGUUUUUAGCUUUUUCUUUAAUUGAGAGCAUUGGAACAAUUUACUCAAGACACUGAUGCUCAAUCUUGCUCCAUGAAAUUUCCAGAACUUUUAGUUUAAAAAGUUACUGAGUGAUACAUGAUAUAUGGUUAGGUGUUGCUUCA